rnacentral:rRNA from 1 species
AUUGAACGCUGGCGGAAUGCUUUACACAUGCAAGUCGAACGGCAGCACGGGGGCAACCCUGGUGGCGAGUGGCGAACGGGUGAGUAAUACAUCGGAACGUGCCCAGUCGUGGGGGAUAACGUAGCGAAAGUUACGCUAAUACCGCAUACGAUCUACGGAUGAAAGCGGGGGAUCGCAAGACCUCGCGCGAUUGGAGCGGCCGAUGUCAGAUUAGGUAGUUGGUGGGGUAAAGGCUCACCAAGCCGACGAUCUGUAGCUGGUCUGAGAGGACGACCAGCCACACUGGGACUGAGACACGGCCCAGACUCCUACGGGAGGCAGCAGUGGGGAAUUUUGGACAAUGGGCGCAAGCCUGAUCCAGCCAUUCCGCGUGCAGGAUGAAGGCCCUCGGGUUGUAAACUGCUUUUGUACGGAACGAAACGGCGCUCUCUAAUACAGGGCGCUAAUGACGGUACCGUAAGAAUAAGCACCGGCUAACUACGUGCCAGCAGCCGCGGU